AUGAACGCUGGCGGCGUGCCUAAUACAUGCCAGUCGAGCGAACAGACGAGGAGCUUGCUCCUCUGACGUUAGCGGCGGACGGGUGAGUAACACGUGGAUAACCUACCUAUAAGACUGGGAUAACUUCGGGAAACCGGAGCUAAUACCGGAUAAUAUAUUGAACCGCAUGGUUCAAUAGUGAAAGACGGUUUUGCUGUCACUUAUAGAUGGAUCCGCGCCGCAUUAGCUAGUUGGUAAGGUAACGGCUUACCAAGGCAACGAUGCGUAGCCGACCUGAGAGGGGGAUCGGCCACCCUGGAACAGAGACACGGUCCAGACACCUACGGGAGGCAGCAGUAGGGAAUCUUCGGCAAUGGGCGAAAGCCUGACGGAGCAACGCCGCGGGAGUGAUGAAGGUCUGCGGAUCGUAAAACUCUGUUAUUAGGGAAGAACAAAUGUGUAAGUAACUAUGCACGUCUGGACGGUACCUAAUCAGAAAGCCACGGCUAACUACGU
rnacentral:rRNA from 1 species